rnacentral:lncRNA from 1 species
GAUGCGCUAACAAUAUCCUAGAGACUAGGACUUAUUGACUAAAAACAAACAUCUGUUAUUGACCAGAAACUAAAUUUAGAAAACUUAACACGUGGAUUUGCAGUCGUGAAGCAUAUUCUUAACACUCCUCCUUGCUUUAGGCACCGCAAAUUCCAAUUCUCUUCCUUAGUAACUCAAACUUGCAAACUGGAAUUGGCUGUGUGAACAAAUCUGCCAGCCGAUCUUCAGACUUGCAGUAAACUAAAUUUACUUCUCCAGAUUGCUGCACCUCCCUUAAGAAGUAAAGCUUGAUGUUGAAGUGUUUCGUUUUCCUAUGAAAUACUGGAUUUCGAGAAAUUGCAGUUGCUGCUUGAUUAUCAACAAAAAUCUGAGUACUAUCAUUUUGCUCCAUGUGUGGAUCAGUUAGUAUUUUCUUCAGCCAUAAAGCUUGGUUUGCUGCUGCACUUACUGCAAUAAACUCUGCCUCUGCAGUGGACUAUGCUACAAUCUCUUGUUUCUUUGAACACCAUGAGAAAAUACCUGAGCCUAGGCUGAAACAGUAUCCUGAAGUACUUUUCAUGUCAUCUACAGAACCAGCCCAAUCACUAUCUGAAAAUCCACACAUCUUGAAGUUUUGACACUUCUGAAACUUAACACCACAAUCAAUAGUACCCUUGAUAAACCUUAAUACUCUUUUUGCUGCUUUUAAAUGCACUUCACUAGCCCAAUGCAUAAAUCGAGAUAAGAGACUUACAACAAAUAAAAUAUCAGGUCUUGUUGCUGUAAGAUACAUUAAGCAACUAAUCAAGCUUCUAUAAUAGCCUUCAUCAACUUUAUCAGCACCAUCUUCUUUGCUCAGCUUCUCUUUUUGACCCAUUGGCGUGUUUGUUGCUUUGCACUCCUCCAUCUGAAAUUUCUUCAAAAUUUCCUUUGCAUACUUCUUCUGACAGAUAAAUACUUCAUUUUGGCUUUGUUGGACCUCCAUACCAAGAAAGUAAGUCAUAAGGCCAAGGUCUGUCAUCUCAAAGACCUGCAUCAUCUCUUGUUUAAACUUUUCAACCAUUUGUACAUUAUCUCCUGUUACCAAAAGGUCAUCAACAUAAAGGGACACAAUGAGAACAUAACUACCCUUUUGUUUAACAUAAAGAGUAGCUUCAGAUAAGCUUCUUGUGAAGCCUAAGCUUAGCAAAUGUUCAUCUCUCCUGCUGUACCAGGCUUUUGGGGCUUGCUUUAAGCCAUAAAGGGCCUUUUUAAGCAAAUAGACCUUAUCCUCUUCACCUUGCACCACAAAUCCUUCUGGCUGCUCCACAUAUAUUUCUUCUUGCAAAACACCAUUUAGAAAAGCUGAUUUGACAUAUAGCUGAAACACUUUUCAGCCCUUUUGUGCUGCUAAAGCUAACAACAAUCUGAUUGUGUCUAAUCUAGCAACUGGAGCAAAAGUUUCAGAAUAAUCAACACCAAAAAUUGAGCAUGCCCCUUAACAACAAUCCUUGCUUUGUGUUUGUUGAUGGAGUUAUCAGCAUUUAGCUUUGUUCGGUACACCCAUUUUACUCCAAUGAUUUUUCUGCCUUCUGGUUUGUGGACUAAUUCCCAAGUUUUAUUCUUGUGAAUCAUUGACAUCUCCUCCUCCAUAGCUUUCUUCCACUUUGGAUCUAUNNNNNNNNNNNNNNNNNNAGCAGGUUCGCAUAAUGCCACAUUACAUCUUUGAUAAAUGUCUGAAAGUGGUCUUGUUCCUCUAACUGGAGGAUCAUCUUCCAAUUCAUUUUGCCACUGCUCCGUUGUCUCCUCUUCAAGAGAAUUGCUUAUAAAUUCUUGUGAAGGUCUGCUUGUUCCUUGCGAAUUUUCCCAGUUCCAUUGCUCAUCCUCAUUGAAGUGAACAUCUCUAGUAAUCACCAUUUUUUCUGUUUGAGGGUGAUAUACUUUGUAGGCUUUAGAAACUGUGCUAUAGCCCACAAAGAUGCCUGGAAUUGCUUUUUUGUCAAGUUUGUCCCUCUUGACCUGUGGAAUAUGGACAAAACACAAACAACCAAAUACUUUAAGAAAGCUUAAUGAAGGUAUAUACCCAUACCAAGCUUCAAAUGGAGUUUUGUCUUCAACGGCUACACUUGGAAGCCGAUUUUGCAGAAAUACUGCUGUGUUGGCUGCCUCUGCCCAGAAACUUUUUGGCAAAUCCUUCUCAUGUAGCAUGCAUCUGGCCAUCUCCAUGACGUAUCUAUUCUUUCUUUCACUAACUCCAUUUUGCUGUGGAGUGUAAGGAGCAGUGAGCUGAUGUUCAAUGCCAGCUUCAUCGCAAAACAAAUUAAAUUCUGCUGAGGUGUACUCCUUUCCAUUAUCAGAACCUUAAAAUCUGAAUUUUGCAGCAACUUUGAUUUUCCACCAUCUUCUUGAACUUCCAGAAUACUCCAGCCACUUCAGACUUGAACUUUAGGAAAAAAAUCCAACACAUUCUUGUAAAAUCAUCAAUGAAAAGAAUGUAAUACCGGCUACCUUGAAGUGAUGGUGUUUUUUGAGGUCCUCCCACAUCUGUAUGAACUAGUUGCAGCUUCUGUGAUGCUCUCCAGGAUGAUUUAGGAAAUGGUUUCCUACUUUGUUUUCCAAAUUGACAAGCAUGACAAUUUGGCAAGUGAUCAACCAGAGCUGGUAAACCUCUUAUCACUUCAUCUUUCUUCAUCUUUAGCAUUCGUUGAAGAUGACAAUGCCCAAGCCUUUUGUGCCAGACUUCGGUGAUGUUGAUAUUGGUGAAAUAAGCUAUGUGCUCCUCCUCCAUUGGAUCAAAUGAGAAGCUUUUACCUCUCAUUUUAACAUGCAAGAUCUCCUUUCCAGCGGCAUCAUAGAUACGACAAUACAAGUUUUCAAAGGACACCUUAAAUCCUUUUUCUAUUAACUGGCCAACACUCAGCAAUUUUUGAUCAAUAUCAGGUACAUAAAGAACAUCUGAAAUUGUUUUUGUACCUGAGCUGGUUGUUAUUGCAAUGGUUCCUCUUCCUUUUGCUGCAAUAUAACCACCAUUUCCUAUCCUAACUUUCGUCAUUGCGGUAGGCUUUAACUCCUUAAAAAGAGUUCUGUCAAACGUUAUGUGGUUUGUACAACCACUGUCAAUUAACCAACAUUCUGAGGAGACCUUUGUAGAGAAACAAGUGGCCACAAACAUCUGAUCUUCUUCUUCUUGAUCAGCUACUUGAGCAUCUUCUUCCUUUUUCUGAAAUUUGCUUUUGCAAAUCACAGCUUCAUGUCCAAGCUGAUUGCAUUUGCUACACUUUGCAUCGGGCCUUUCCAACACUUGAAUGGAGGAUGACCCAUUUUACCACAGUGUUUGCAAGGAGGGUAGUUUCCCUUUGAGCUUCCACCUUUGCUUUGAGUGUGGUUGCUUGAACUGUUCCCAGAACUUGAGACUUGUUUCUUCUUUUUAUUGUUUCUCUGGACAUGCUGGUGUUUAACUGACAAGGCUCCUUCAACAGUAGAAUCUUGUCUCAUAAGCCUCCGUUGCUCUUGAGCCUGCAAAGCAUUCAACAGUUCUGCCAAGGUAAUCUUGGACAGAUCUUUAGUAUUUUCCAAGGUGGUUAUUGAGGCUUCAUAUUUUUCUCUUUGUGGCUUUUGAUCUGAGCGACCGUCAGGUUGUUCGGCAGCGGAGCGACUUCGUAAUCUUCUUCGACAGCUUCCCAUAGAUCUAAAGCCUCCAGAUAAGUUUCCAUUCUAACAGCCCAGAGCUGGAAGUUUUCUCCGUCGAAAACUAGAGGAGCAGCUUGAGAGAAAUUGGAGAAACUUGUUUCAACUUCCAUGGUUGCUCACAGGUCCCGUAAGAAAUAAUUGCUCUAAUACCAAAUUGUUGUUUUUUGAGAAGGAAAAGACAGAGAAACAAAGGUAUGUGAAAUCUGAAAUUAGAAAAGGAAUAGAAAAAGUAAACGAAAAAACUGAUAUGAUGCAGCAAAGGGGUUCUUUUAUUCACCACCAGUGUAUUACAUUUAUAGUGCAAAAGUAAAACUGAAAAGAGUGGAUCACAAGAUUUACGGUAACAAACCAUGACUUGUGAUGCGCUAACAAUAUCCUACAGACUAGGACUUAUUGACUGAAAACAAACAUCUAUUAUUGAUCAGAAACUAAAUUUAGAAAACUUAACACGUGAAUUUGCAGUCGUGAAGCAUAUUCUUAACAGCAUGAAAUUUUGGAGGUGGCGGUUCAACAGCAGGUAAUGGGUUAGGGUAAUCAUCGAGGGAAGGCGUGUUAACAAAGAGGUUGGAAGGAAUAAUUGCUGUAUUUUUAUAGGGGACUAAAUCUUUUGAUACUAAAUGUCGCACUAAUCCCAUAGUCCUUAGGAAGAUUCACAACAUAAGCAUUCGAACUAAUUUUUCAUAGAACUUGGAACGGUUCCGCACUACGAGCUUGCAAUUUCUUGAACUUCCUGAAGAAAGUCGUUCAAGCCUAAUUCUUAUCAUGACAUAACCUCAUUCACUUAGCUCUUUAUAGCGUCUGUGUAAAUCAGUAAGAGAUUUAUAUUUUAAGUUAUUAAAGUGAAUGUAUUUGCUGAUUUCUUGAUGCAAUGAAUGUGGGUGCGAUGCGAAUGACUGUGCAAACUCAGACACUCUAUACUGAUGAGACAUGGGGAUCAGAUCUAUGGGCUGCCUAAGUUUGUAAUCAUGCACCAUUGUAAAUGGACUCAUGUCUAUGGAUUUAUUGACUGAACUAUCAUAUGCAAACUCAACUAUCGGUAACAUUAAAUCACGGGUCCUAACAUGUUCAUUCGGGUUGAGCCUAUAAUGUAAAAAAUUAGGCAGAGAUGCUCCGGAAACUAAAUCAAUUGCGUGUUAGAUAUCACACAUCGGAGGAAGUGCAUUCGGAAGAUCAUCAUGGACUACAGAAUGAAACUCCUCUAGAAAGAAAACUACUACAGGGGAUGCUCAAGGUUGAACUCCACAUUGAUAUCUUUAGCCACAAGUGCCAACAUAGGUGACUGGCUCUAGAUAUCUUUCACUAUCUCUUUCAAAGUAGUGAUAUGAAGUGGUUUAGUUGUACUUAGGUCAAUAGUUUUUCUUUGGAAAUCAUUCUGGACAAAUUCUAAUCCGAUGGAUUCGUCUUCAAAGUCUUCUACGUAAUAUUUUAUAUUUGGUUUAUAGACUUCUUCGACAUAUUCGGCCUCUUGGUUUCCAGCUUCUAGUUCAGUAAUCAGGUAGGUCUUAGUGGAACAUUGGGACGCUAUGUGGCCGAAUUGUUGACAUCUAAAAUAUUGGGUUUGGUUCCUAGGGGUAUGGGGAAGGGCCAUAGGUGGUGCGGCCAAACCGAUUUCAGGCUGGGCUGCAAUGGGGGUUGGCAGUUUAGGGGUUCUAAAGUUUCGUAUGAACUCAGGGACCUCUUGUCUGAUUUCUUUCCUUUCAACUCGUAUGGCAGCGAACUGGUCUUUGAGGAAUUUCAGAAGUUCGGAAUCCAUAGUAGCUAAGAGAACUUUAGGUCUACCGGCUUGGUACUCCUUAUCGCUACGGGUUGAUAUGCAAUGAUAACACAAUGUAUAAUGAUGUGAGAUGCAAUGUCAAUAAUGAAAUUCUAAUAAAUAUGAUGCAGGACAACCUAUCAAUGCAACGUACUAUAAUUUCAGAGAUCAGCAAGCUUUCACAAAGUAACUUAAAAUUUAAAUGUUGCUGAUUUUAACUUUGGUUAUUUCAGGUUAGGGUAUGAGAUUAAUCAAGUUAAGAAAUUAGGUUGCAAUCAAGUAUUAUAGUUGUUCCGAUCCUAAAGAAAAUUGAUCGAUGAACAUUGUGAAACAUCCUCUUGCUAGGGUGUGCUAAUUUAAUAUCAAAAUUUGAUGGUUGAUAGGAUGGGUUUGAAAGUAGAGGUUCUAUGUUCUAAAUUUUGACAGCAAAAAUAAGUUUCAAGAAUACGGCUAUCAUGCAAGAAAACUUAAAACAUAAUUAAAUGAACAAUCCCAAGAAAAGUAGAAACCUAUCACCUGUCGUGGAGCAGUCAACCAGAACCAUUUGCUCGUGGGCUGUGGCGGCGAUCAAGGGCGCAAUUGCAGCUAAUGGACCCUUCAAGUGGCUUCAAUUGGCUUCAACUUGGAUCCGAUCACAGCAAUUUGGCAGUUCUUUGUAGAAAUGGUCCUGACUUCAGCAAUUUGUUGGGGCUUAAUUGCUGUGGCUUGGUGGGCCUGAUGACUGGGCUUGUUGAUUAAAGGGAGGAGGGGCUGGUGAAGGGCAUGAUGGGCCUGAAAAAGUGGAGGGGUGUGGCCUGCUAGGGUUUGGGCCGUAGAAUAAAGAAAGGGGAAGGGGGGAUGGCUUAUCGGGGUUGGUGUGUGUUGGCUCGGGUGUGUCCUAUUAUGAAAAGGAAUGGUGGAGUGUGAAGGGGGUUUGGGUUUUAGGGGAAGGUGAAGGGAGGAAAGAUGGAGAGGGUUCAGGGCUGAACCCCUUAAGGGAUGAAAACGAUGGGUUCACGAAGAGGGGAGGGGGGCAUCGGCCGGUGAACCAGGGGUGCAGGGCGGUGAACGAGGGAAAGUAGGAGGUGGUUAGCGAGGGCGGGGUGCGCUGCAGGCGGCGACGGCGGGGUGCGCUGCAGGCGGCGACGGCUCGAGUAGUGGGCAUCAGUGGGGUAGCACGGCCGGAGAGAGGGAAGAGGGCACGGGCGGAGCUGAUGGAGCUCGGGCACCGGCGGCUCGGGCAAUGGAGAUCUUCGGGCGGUGGGACGGGAGCGGCCAAGGAUGGCAAAGGUGACAGCAAGGCGGUCGCAAAGGAAAGAAUGGCGAGGCGGCGCUCGGUGGUGGCACGCGGCCGGGCGACAUGGCGGACCGGUGAGGAAGAAGAGGAGUGGUGAAGGCGGCGGGGGCAGCGAGGCCGGAGGGAGCAACGGCGGCGCUUCAAAGGCGGCGAGCAACGGCGGAGAGGAGGCCACGGAAGGUAGAAGAUGAACCAAGUUUUUUUUCCUUUUUGUUUAACUCGGUUCGGGUUGGAUUUGGAUUAUCGAGCGCGACCCGCUCUGAUAACCUGCUACCAGUCCGUCACGUGCGCUCCUUUUUUUGUGGUGAAUCUGAGCUACCGGAUUAUGGGUUAAUGGGUUUAGCCCUUACCCGUUAAUCCGGUCUUCUUCACCCACCGACAGCCUCGGAGGAACGCCGUGGACUGCACGGCGGCGGCUGCGGGGCGAGGGACGGGCGGCCGCUGCGGAUCGGCCGAAGGGGGGCGGCGACGGAGAUCGCAGCCUUGGCUAUGUGGUCGGGGGCGAUAGGCGGCGGCCGAUCACGGCGGCGGGCAGCCUCUUCCUAGCACGAGUGAAGGACGUCCGGGUUCUCACAGGGCGGUUGUGGGCGGCGGCCGGUCACGGUUCCGGCUGGUGGCGGCUUCCGGCGACGCGUCACAGGCGGCUUCUCUUCGAGCGUUGUUGGCAGCGAUCGGGGUGAAGGUGGUCAAGCGUGUGAUGGGUGGUAAGGAGUGGCUCCGACGAAUAGAUGGCGACAGUGGCAUUGAUGAGGAACUGAUGAUGGGGAGCGUGGGAGGGAUGGCGACGGUGGCUCUGAUGAGGAACUAAUGAAGGGGAGCGUGGGAGAGAAAGGCUCAGUGCUGGUGGGGUGCUGGCACAGAGGGGAGGGAACGAACUGGGUCUUCUCCUUUGGAAACAGAUGAAGGGUUUUUCUCCUUUUUCCUGGUGAAAACAGAGAGGGAGGGAGAGAGAGAGAACAAAAACUAGAUCGUGGCUUUGGCAGCAGGGCCAAAGCCGAGCUGCUCUGAUACCAAGCUGAUGGCGGACCACUGCAGGGGAAAAGAGGAAAAGAGGAAGAAGGAAAGAAGAAGGAAGAAGAGGUUAUAGAGACGCAGGAAGAAGAGGAAGAAGGAGGCUAGGGUUUUUUAUUCAAUCAUCAGUUGCCCUAAUUCAUGAGUAGGUGGCUCUUAUAUAGGCCUUACAUCAUGAAUUGACCAAGUUAAACAAUUAACAACUAACGAAACUUGGAUCCUUCAAUUAAUUGACUAAGUCAAUUAAUUGAUUAGAUACCAAAUUAAAUCUUACAAACAUUAGACCAUUAAACCAAUUGAUCACACCCAAAAUUGGACCUUUAUAAUUAGGUCUUACAUUGAUCAAUUGAUCCAAUCACUUGAUUCAACAACCAAAUCGACUCCAAAAUAACAGAAACACAACCAAAUCGACUCAAAUAAAAGCAACUAAUAAGACAAUAAAAGAAACAUGACGCUGACUCGAAUGGACCCGAUCUGGGCCUGACUCAAUCUGGUGGCUCAGGAUCCUCUUGUAGCCAUAAUGAUGUCAUCCCCUGGUGCGGGCGCGAGCGAGCGGCUCUGAUGGCUCGAUCGUCUGAACGAACGGCUCUGAUGUCCCCAUCAGUUAUUAACUGAUCCAUGAUGAUAUAGGAGAUUGGUUGGGAAACUAAAUUAUCUAACUAUCACCGGACUAGAUAUUUCUUUUGCAGUUAGUGUGGUGAAUCAGUUUUUGGACACUCCAAGGACUAGUCUCUGGGGUGCUGUAAUAUGUAUUUUGAGAUAUCUUAGGGGUGUCCCAAGCCAGGGUUUUUUAUAUAAGAAUCACAUACUCAGAUUGAAGGUUAUACUGAUGCAGAUUGGUCUGGAUCUCCAUCUGAUAGAAGGCCACAAUUGGGUACUGUCUUUGUUGGUGGUAAUUUGGCAUCUUAGAAGAGUAAGAAGCAAAAUGUUGUUGCAAAAUCAGUGCAGAGUCUGAAUAUCUAGGCAUGGCCCACACUGCAUGUGAGUUGAUUUGGUUGAAGCACAUGUUGGAAGAACUGUGUUUUAAACAAUCACAUCCUAUGAAUAUGAUGUGUAAUAAUCAUGCAACUAUUCAUAUUGAUUGUCAUUUCGUUCGCUCUUACAGAAUGUGAUUCGUACAGAGUUUGUGAGAUUAGUUGACCAGUUAGCAGAUUUAUUUACUAAACCUUUGGGUGAGUUAUAUUUGUACAAGCUGGGCACAUAUGAUAUAUAUGCUCUAGCUUAAGGGGGAGUGUUAAGGGUAAUUAAGUAUAUGUAUCAAGGGUAGUUAUGACAUUAUAUUAUUUUGUUAUUAAUAUAAAUACAACAUGGGGUCAGACCUAGGGUAACUGACCUCUCUGAUUUCUUGUUUCUCAACAAUUUAUAUAAUAAAGAUAUAUCAUAUUAACCAUGUCUUUGGGGAUGCCCAAACAAAUAUAGUGUGAAUUUUGCUUUCAAUUUUAGAUUUGCCAUCAAUGUAGAGGUUAUCUUAAGAUUUGCUGGAUAUGAGCUAUGACUUAUAGCUUCUCUUCGAGAGUUUUUCAGCAUUUGAGUUAUGUAUUUGAUAUAACAUAAGCUGCUUUGACACAUAUUUUAUGCAGGCUGAUUAGAGCUGCUCAUAAGAAAGGGGCAAACAUUAUUCUGAUUCAGGUAAAAAAUCAGAAACGGAGAGUUUAUUUUGAUAAAGAAAAUGAUUGACAAUCAGACCUGACACCUAUCUUAUUACAUCUUCUAUAUCAAAUUGUUUUCACAUCGAUUAUAUGCAGUAUAGUAAUUAUUAUUUAAGGGUUUAUCAUAUUAUUAUUCAUGCAUCUGAGAAAAAUUUCUGUUAUAUAUUGCUUUUCCAAAAUUGGUAUGUAUAAAUUUGUGUUAUGAUUGGAGCCCAUGAAGCAAAGGUACAACUAUAGAAUAUAGAUAUAGCUUGAUAAGGACAUGCUGAUCUAGUAAAUCUAGAGAAAAUAAGAUACUAUAUGGCUAAGCUAUGUCAAUAAAUAUAUCCAUAAAUACAUACAUAUACACACAUAUCUACAUACAUGCAUAUGUACAUUUGAAAAAACAUCCAUGAAGCAUGAUGGGCUAUUGAAAUAACAGAGUUCAUGCUCUGUACGAUAGCAUUCGCUUCCAUAACCUCCUGAUUUAAUCAUCAUUCAAGUCCGUAGACCCCAAUCCAUACUCCAUACUAUAAUAUGAACAUCACAAUCUCGAAAACUAACCAUUCAUUAUUAAAAGGUUAGCAUUCAUUAAAAAGGAAAGAAACGAAGCGAAGCCCUUCGCCUAAUUCUUGAGAGGUACCAAAGAAGUAUCUCAAUUGUAUCCGAGAAGUAUCUGAAGCAUUGUUUUAGUUUUGAAAAAUAGGAUACUUAACAUAAGCAUUAGAUAGUGUCCUAGAAGUAUCCCAUAAGUAUUGGUAUCUGAUUUGGUCCCAGCAUGCAAAUUCAAGUUAUCUGUUCUUUGUAGAUGGGCACACUCUUAUCACUUUUUUCAUUUUAGAAUGAAGGCAAUGCUAACUAAUUUCUAAUGCCCGUACCCAAAACCUAAUUUGUAAGGACAAAAGCUACUUUAUUUUGACUUGCUAGAUGUAGUGCCUCCCUAUAUGUCACUAGAUUUACUUCAUGGCCAUCCACUUUGGGAAUAUUCUUUACAUCUGUUGCUUUUGUCUGGCCUUGAUUGAAAGCAGUCACUGCCCCCUCCUCCCCCCAACACACGCACAGCAAACAAAAAAUAAGAAGAGUUGAUCUUGUGGUUGCUUCUAUAAGUAUGAUCAUAUCAUUCAAGUAAGCUGAAGGCGAUACCAUGCAAGAUUCUCGUAUGUUUCUGACUUCAAUUCAGGAAGGUUGGUAUACCUCAAAGAAAAAUCUAUUUGAAAUUGUAAUUAAGCGAGUCCAUCUCUCUGCUGCCUGAAUCAAUCAGAGGGCCGAAUCUUCACCUUGUUAGAUGAGUUCAUCUGGAUUUACUUGCACAGGCUUAUUUCUCAAAUCAUUCAUACUACUCAGGGAACAAACCAAAAAAAAUUAAGCAGUGAUUACAUGGCCAUACAUCGACAUGAUUAUUGAUAUUUCUGAACGAGUAAUGAUAGUUGAUGUAACUAUUUUGCCUCUUGAUCUAUUUAGAAGUUCACUAGUUGGAAAGGACUUGGUGAUUCUCUAACUAUCUUUAUAAGGACUUCUUGAUGUGUCUUAGGAACUAUUUGAAGGGUACUAUUUCUGCCAAGCUCAAAGGGCAGAUUUUUUUCAGCGCGCUAAACCUUAUAAAGGGCAUCCUACAAUUUUGAGGUAAAAAUUAAACUUUAUCUGCAAAAAUUCCUUUGCAAUCAGUAUGCAUAUCAAAAGAACAAAAUCAACGGUAAAUUAUCACUCCAUCAAGUAUCCUAACAUAAGAUAAUUUCAUUUCACAUUUUGCAGGAUGCAAAAACUUGCAAAGGAGUUAGGCGUUGUGAUACCAGUGAGUUUCUUUGAGGAAGCAAACAAUGCUCAUUAUAAUUCAAUAGCCAUCAUUGAUGCAGAUGGGAUGGAUCUUGGAUUAUAUAGGAAAUCACAUAUUCCAGAUGGACCAGGCAUGAUAUAUCAGAAUUAUCUGCUGCUAGACUACUUACAUACUAUUCUUGUUUCAGCUAAUGAGCAAUUAUUACUUCUGCUAUUCAGGUUACCAAGAAAAAUUCUAUUUCAAUCCAGGUGACACUGGUUUCAAGGUGGUGUAUCUUUCAUCAUUUCUUUUCCUUUUUUCCUCAAUAGAUUCUAGUCUCGUUCAUACCAAAUGCGAAAGUAUUUUGUGUGUAUCAUGUUUUAAGCCAUAAAUCAUCUAUCUACUUUUCAACUAAUGUCUUCCCUUGGUGUCAUUGAAAGGCAGGUUUUCACAACUAAAUUUGCCAAAAUUGGGGUUGGUGAGUGAGUUGCAUUUAAAAAAGCAUAAAUUAAUAUUGAGUUGUCAAUCAAAUAAGAAAACACAUAUUGCAUUACUACUACUUACUUUAAUCCCAAGAAAAGAGUUAUCUGAGGCCAUUGCUUCCUUUUGUUGGCAGCAAUUUGUUGGGAUCAGUGGUUUCCAGAAGCCGCACGAGCUAUGGCUCUUCAAGGUGCAGAAAUAUUGUUGUAUCCUACUGCCAUUGGAUCUGAACCGCAAGAUAAAGGGCUUGACUCGCGCGAACAUUGGAAGCGAGUAAUGCAAGGACAUGCUGGAGCUAAUUUGGUAAUACUUGAUUACAACUCUAGUUUAAACCUUUCUUGGAAGUUUGGCUGGUGUGCUGCUUCAUACGGCAUUUUUGCUUUGCAAUCUCUGGGCAUGAUGAAUUUGUGAGUUUGCAGGUUCCUCUUGUAGCUUCCAACCGGGUUGGAAAGGAGACGAUCAAAACAGAACAUGGUGAGAGUGUGAUCACAUUCUAUGGCAAUUCUUUCAUAGCAGGUAUUUUGUCCCCACUACAAGUAUAGGAGCAUGCUUUUCUCAUUUUGAUGCUUGUAAAUUGCAAAUGAGCAAUGUAUCAUGUAAUGAUCUGUUGUUAAUACUGAUUAUCCUUGAAAAAGGACCAAGUGGAGAAAUAAUGGCGCUUGCAAAUGAUAAAGAUGAAGAUAUGCUGAUUGCGGAGUUUGACCUGGAAAAAAUCAAGACGCAGAGAUACAGUUGGGGGGUAUUUCGUGAUCGGCGACCAGACCUAUACAAGGUACUCUUGACAUUAGAUGGCAGCAAACCUUCUCUGUGAUGUUGAUGUGUUACAUGGCACUGAGGUUGAGAAUUUAGCUUUUCUCUCCAGAAUAAAUGUGUUGACAUGAUGUUAAAAAAGUAUUCAAGAUGAUGCAAAACUAUAUAAUAAACUUAAUUUUGUACCGCUAAAUUCCUUGCCUCUAGAAAUAAUUUUGCAGAAUUGAUGAAAAUAUUUGACGACUUUGGAUCUAUUUCAGUUUCUGUUAUAAUUGAUAUAAUGGCCUUUCUGCGUACAAUAUAAUCACUGCCUACAAAGUUCUGGCCUGAGCAUCAGCUUUAUUUUCUGUCAAAUAACUCAUCUGUCUUUCUAGGACAGCAGUCACCUUGCUUGCAGCCUUCUCUGUAUGGUAUGCCGCAUCUCCUUCCUUGAACCAAGUUAAGAGACAUCAAAAACGAAAAUAACACAAAUGUUGUCUGUUAGUUUUGGCAUGUAGGUUAAACUUUAGAUAGCUUACUAUAAGCUAAGAGAGCUGGCAAACCAGUUUUUUAUUUGUUGAAUUUGGUUCAAACUUUUGUGCUUUGAUUUUGGCUAUUGAUUUGUUUUCCCCUUUUUAGGCCCCCAAAGCUUUAUGUCAAGUGUGCAUUCAUGAAACUCAAACUAUAUGCUCUAUGAAAUCAAGAAACAAACACCUUAAUCCAUCAAAUCAGUCGGUUCAAAUGCUGCAGCAUAGAGCCAUCAAAAAUAAAAUAAUAACAAUAUAAUGAUAACAAUAACAAAGCCAUGUCACCAAAUUCAGGCGGCUGAUUUUUCUCAGUUUAUGGAAAGAGAACUUCUAUAAGCAUGAAAAUUCAGAAACAACAUGAAUGUUCAUAAGAAAACACCUUGUCUUAGAUUCCAGUGCAAUGGUCUCCUAGACGUGAAAGAAACCUGGAAGAACCAAUAUAUAUAUAUACUUUUUAUGAAAUGAUAAGAAGAAACUAGAUUGAGAAAUCCAUAUCAUCUGGCUUUUCAUGGCCAUUACGUACUUCCAACUGCCUGUGUGCCACCUCGUCCAAGUCCCCUGCUAAGUCCUCGUUUAAUCACAUGGCUGUUAAAAGGCGUAGGAAUUAUGCUUCAUGACUUGAUUCGUUUCGGUAUUUGUGGUAACUUUGGUACGGAAAGGUUGAGCUCCAUGUUGGAAUCUUAUUUGCUUGCUGGGGAGUCAUAAUUAGGAGAGUUUGAGAUUUUGUAUAUGUUAAUUAUAGUAUGUACUAGGAGGAUAAGUUUUCUUUACUAAUGUUAAUGAAUAUUGGUAACUAAUAAAUAUGGAAAUAUAGUUAAAAUCCUCAUAUGAUCCUCAUAUUAUACAUGUAUUUGUUAACAAGUUCACCAUAUUUUUUUAAUAUUUAAGCAAACAAGGUCUUUUCCUCUAGUUUUAUAUGAGAAGGGGGGUUCCUUCUUACUCUUUUUUUUUUUAAUCAUGGCAAUGUCGUACACUCUUUGGCGAAGCAUUUAUUCUUUCUUUCCUAUAUCCAUAUUCAUACAUACAGAAUUCUUAUCAUGAUUCAUGGGUGAAAUUAGAGCUGGUUAACUACCCUCGCCCAUUAGGAUAGGUAAGAGGUAUAGUUUAGUGUUCCACCUAGGGUGUGGCUGAUUAGGACUCAUCACCCGUCUGUUCCGUGAUGGAACUUGAUUUGGCACAAGGAUCGAAUCCCGAGACAUGCUUUCAUUGUAUAGAAGACUCUUAUGGCUAAGUUACUUAGAUCGAACUUCAGCACCGAGGAUUCCAGCUUGUCUCUUACUUAGAGGUUCGCCGGGAGAUGACGAUCUAUCUCAAUCAGAUGUCCCCAAUCUAUGAUCUUUCUUAAGCCAGCGAUCCCAUAGCUCGGAUGCUGCUCCCCACAAUACAAUAGAUAGGUAAAAGAACUCAAGAAAGUGCUUUAUUUCGAUUUGAUGGUCGAGUCAAUGGCUCAUGAACCACGUCUUUCCCAGAGGAAUAAAAUAAGAAGACCUUCAUCGAGAAAGGAUCUCUGUUCUUCACUUGAUGAACUCAAAUGCUAUGGAAUCACCAUUUGCAGAGAGGAAAAAAGAAUCUUUGGCGAGCGAGGAUCCUUUUUUUGCUGCGCUUGGAUCGCUCGCCAGUUUGUAACAUUCCAGAUUGUUCUAUAUUUAUUAGAUUAACUCGAAAACACUACUUUUAUAAAAAAGUACUUAUUCUGAUUCCAUUAAUUCGUGUACAUUUAUAUAUUGAAUUAUGCAUAAGUAUGCACAUGUACCUAUGUCUAUAAAUAAAAGAUUGCAUGCACAUUCAGUAUAUAAAUAUAUGAGCAUGUACGAUUUGCCUAAAAGAAAAUAAAGAUAUAAUAUCAAAAAAUAGUACUUUUUCUAGUUUACCUAACAAGAGUUUUUUAGAAAAAUAAAUAUUGAAAUUUGGAUAAAAAUAAAUAAAAAAUUCAUCCUUAAACUGUCAUGAGGUGUAAUGGUAUUUCCACAAAUAUUUGGAAGUUCAGCAGCACUGACAUCCCCCUAAUAAUUCAUCCAUAUCUCCCUCAUUCGACCUUCAUUUUGGGUAACUCAAAGAUACAGUAUAAGGUUGCUCGAUACUGGAUAUGACCUAAGUGGUUUUAUAUAAAAAUUCUGACCAUGCUGAUGAUGAUGAAGCUUUUUUUUGGAUAGAUGCGCAUGAAAGUUACUAUUUUUGCUAUGAAUUAAUUUAAUCUAUAAAAUUCAUGUUCAUUGAACAUUUGUGAGUCAAAAGACACAUUGUAUUCUCAAACUUGUCCUAUUCCACCAAUAGAUCUUGGCAUGGAUCUUAGGAUAUUGGCUUUCAUGCUUGUUCAAGUAUAGCUUUCGUCGUGGCCAUGAUAUCCUUUUGGGCUUUGGAUAAUUAUUUUCUAACAAUCUCAUCUAUGCGUUUGAAGCCUUCAUGAUUUCUGUUUGGUCUCAAGUUUAGACAUAUGUGAAGUCUGGGAUUUUUUGCUUACAUCAGAAGAAAGACAUAUUACUAGACCAUAAACAUUAGUUAGAGACAAAAUCUUAGAGCAGCUGAUGGUUUCCUUCUAGCAUGAUAGAAAGACGGAGAGAAUGACGAAUCUAGAGAGAGCAUAGAGAACGGGAGGUAGGACGAUAGGAGGGUUUCAGCUAGUGGCAUCUCUCAUAUUUUCUUCAGUAUGAAAUAAAGAUUUGCAAUUGUGAAUUGAUUAUGAUCUAUUUGUUUGAUUAAAGCCUAGGCCUACUUGGAUUCUUGACUAAGCUUCAAGAUUCGGGUUUAGAUCAGGCUGAUUCUUGAUUUCAGAUCUAGGCCUAAACUACUCUAAUGAAUCAAAGUUCCUUGUUUAGCCCCACUUGUGGCCACCUAUAUAGAGAGGACCAUAAAACCGAAUGAAAGAGUGGUCGGAUGAGAGGUAUCAAAUAGAACAAAAGUCUUGGGCAAGGUUUCAUGAACAAGGCACCCCCUUUAGCCUUAUUACAAAAGACUUGGGCCCGUGCUCAUCCAAUGUAAGUGACUAAAAUAUUUGUGUCUUGUGCCUCUACAAUAGGUUCAUGGUAGUUGUGCCCUAAAAGUUGAAAAUUCUAGUCCCUCUGCCAAGUGCCAUUUACUUUGAUUUAUAGUAGAUAUAAUACGUAGGGACCUCUAAGGUGAUGGAUCAAAAAGUCUUGUACCUUAUCCUCCCAUCUAGAUGCCUAAUUUCGAAGAAAAAAAAGAAGAAAUCUACAACCUGCUAGAUAAAAUAACAAAAAUUAGCAAAGAUAAGCUAUUUCAACAUAAAAGAGAAAAUUUUAUUGAAUCAAAGUAGGAAUUGAAUGCUAGCAUCAUAAUUAGAAAGACUUAAGGAAAAAGAAAGAUGAAGAAAAACAAUUUUUUCCGGUAGUGUCUUGGCAUGAUAGGCACUCUCCUCCUUUGGAGGAGACCCUAAGAGAGAUCUUCCCUAACUUGUGCUCCUCUUAGCUCUUGACUUUCGUGCAUCUAGGGUAGAAGUGGUGCUCCUUGGAUUGAAUGGAUCUAGAUCUAGAAAAAUUGGGGAAGAAGAAGGGGGAGGUGGAGAACCUAAAACUUAGGAAAUCUAGAGCUACAGGGACCUAAUGGAAUGGGGAAGGACUUACAUAUGUGUGUUGUUAAUGAAUGGCAACUAAAAUUCAUUAAGAAGAUUACUUUAUUAUCUUAAACAAUGUACUCAUAUUUGAAUGGAGGUCAACUUGUUAUAAAAGAUUGAGCAAUCUAAUUUUUCUAAGAAAAUUUUAUUUUCUAAUAUAAAUUAUUAACUUUAUUCUCUAAUAUUGAUAGCUUUAUAUCUACCAUCUAUAUUUGACUACAAUAAAUCUUAACUACUAGUAUGGUGAUACGAAAGGAAUGACUCUAAUACAUGGGUGGGUUAACAUUUCACUGGAGUUCAAUAACCAAUACAUCAUUAGUGAUAGAGCAAUCAUCUAAAUAAAUGCCCCCUAAGGCAUUUGUUAACAUUUCCCUGUAUGAUAGCUAGUGAUUGGUGCAAUAUAUAAAAGAUAAGUGGGUGCACAGGCUAUGAUUUUGAUCCAUCACAAACUGAAAAACUAGUUCCCUCUUUGACCUAUCAUCCGUAGAUAACAAAUUGGGAGAUUCAAAAGUCGCUCAGAGAUAAGAUUCUCGGUGUGUAGAAGAUGGAUCUGAAACAAACCUAAACAAUGCUUAUGAGUAUGGCCAUUAAUAGAUCAGCCUCGGUCUGAUCCAUGCUAUAUAGACGUCCAAAAUUGGUAGUAAAGGACAAAUUGAGUUCGGAUUUGGGUUUGGAUCCAUCAAAACAAGUGAGCCCCAAAUUUGGAAUCUUAACUCUAUUAACAGUCAGAUUUGAGUUUGAACUCAAGCAUUUUAGAUUCAAUUCAACACAUGAUUUUAACCUAUAUUUAUCUUAUUAUGUACUUGUUUUGUUCUCUUUGAAGCUCUUAUUAAAAACUAAUACUUUGUUCUCUUUCAACCAUUUAUUCAAAAAUAAUAUGUCAUAAUACUAUUGAAUGAGUGGAGGGGGUGAUAUUUUAGAUUUAUAUCUACCAUUUCUCUGAUCUAUUCUUAGUUCCACACUUUACGAAUAUUCACCAAAAGUAUAAUUAGGGGAGCAAAUGGGUCGGGUCAGACUAGGCCAUAAGUGAUCCCGACCCAACUCGGAUUCUUAUUCAGGUCCUCAUGUUGGACUCAGACCCAAUACAAUAGAAGAUUGAGUCGGAUCAAGUCAGAUCCACAUCUAAAAUUUCUAACUUGACAGGUCAUUUGGGUCAGAUGAAUCGGGUCCAUAUAUAACCCCCUUCCAACCCAAAAAAAUUGGGUCUGAAUCGAUCCAAUUAGGAUUGGGUUGGAUUCUUGUACUCGUCAUUUAUUGUACUUGGUUUCUUUUGCAAUGAGUGAAAUCUACCGAAGGUAGGUUAUGCAGGACUAUACAAGUAAAAAUACCUAUGCUAUUGAUACCAUUACGAACUAAUUUAAGACCGUGUAAAAUUGGUUAAGCUAUGCAUGUCAUCUGCUUGGACUCGAUGCAGUUGAAUCCAAAUAAACCAAAUUUUAUUUAAAGAAAGAAAAUCAAACAAAGUUUAUCCAAAGUUAUAUGCUGCCAAAGUAUCAAUUUCCAGUUUUUUUUUUUUCCUUCUUUUGCAACUUACUGCAAAUCUAUCCAUAUUGCAAUCAUAAAACAGCGGCAUGUAAUAUCAUGCAAUAUCCAAUUACAUACAUCAUGACAAAUUGAAAUCAAGCUCAUGUUGAGCUAAAACGAACGGGAAGCUAACUAAUCUCCUCUGUAAAUGAUCUCCAGCUUGGUAAAAGCAGACCUUAUGCAUGAAGUCUCUGUAAUUAAUCACAGGCUCUGCAUUGCACAUAUCCUUUUUCCCAUUCAAUAUUAACUUAAAGGGAAACACCAUUAUUGCAAUCAAGUAUCAGAUGCAGCCAUAGAGAUAAGUUAUGAUGUGACCCAAGAGAGCUAAGCAUGCUCCUCUCGUGGCUUGUUGGGUGAACGAGAUGGCCUUUUUCCCACGCACAGUUGGAUGAGAAUAACUACUGAUGAAGACAGGAUGACAGCAGAGGAAAGCUAUAGGUGUCUGAUGUUGUGAAAAUCCGUUUGAGGCCGAUUUAAGUGCAAGAUCAACACGAAUAUGGGUAAGACCGAUGUUGUGACACGAAGGCAUGAGGCUGCUUAUCUUGCAUUGCUCCAUUAAUUCCAACAAUUUUAAGCACCCUUCCAGGCCCUAAUAGUUCACCAAUUCGGAUCGAAUCAGAUAUAUAGGGUAGAAAAUCUAAAAUUGCUCUAACAAUUGAAUGGAUCUGAUCGGAUCGGAUCGAGUUAUAAUUUAGUAAAUCCAGAUCUGAUCCAAAAAAUAGAAUGGGUCUAAUUUUUAAACCCAACCCAAUCCCACGAAUCCUUUAAAGCGGGUCGAAUCGGGUUUAUCCAAUCUAUUUACAACCUUAAGUACAAUUAGUAAAGUUAGAUAUAUAAACCAUUGCACCUUUUAUCUCUCAUCUAAACAUCUUAUCCCAAAAGAGUUGGACUCUAUGUAUAGCCACUUGACUGAAAUCAAUUUAAAAUUUAAAAAAUAUUAGUAUCCCAUAAUCCCUUAAAGUUAAAACUUUAAAUACCUCUAAGUACCAAUUAACAAAAUAAUUUUAUUUCAUAAUGAACUUUAUCUCAAACUACUAGGAUAUAUCAUUUAAUGUUAAAGAUUUACAGCUCACCACCUCCAUUGCUCUUCUCACCUGACACCCCAUCCUCCCUGUUGUGCUCGCUUUGUCUCCCUCUCAGGCCCUUUCCGCCUCCACUUACCUCGCUAUCUCCCCCGCCCCCUAUUUUAUUUUAUAUUUUUAGUUUAAUAUUUUUCUUUAUUAUUCAUUUAUUUUUAUUUUUAUAAUUAAUUGAGAUUUUUAUGUUUCAUAUGUAUUUUCUAUUGCUUUAAUAUUUUGAUUUUGUUUUUAGUUUUCUGAAAUUCGUUUAUAUCUUAUUUUUAUUCUUAUAUUUACUUUCUAGUUUUUAUUUUGAUUCAUUUUAGUUUAUGUAUAAUAUAUAUCCUUCAAUCUUCUUUUUUAUAUCAUUUGAUAUAUUUUUCAAAUUAGUUUUCCUAUUUUUUAUGUUAUUUGAUAUUAUUUUUACACAUAUGUUUUGUAUCUUUAGUUUAGACUUAUUUUAUUUUAUUUUUAUUUUAUAUUAUUUAUAAAAUUAUAUUUUUGAUAUUUAUAUUUUACUUUUUUUACUUUUAGCUUUAUUUUAUGGUUUUUUAUUGAAGUUUAUUUUAUUAUUUUUAUAUUUUUAUAAGUGAUCCAUUUCUUACUCUCCUUACUAUGUUUCCUUAUUCCCCUUAAUCUUUUUAUUUUGGGUUAUGAUCUUUAUUUUAUUUGAACUUGUUUUAUUCUUCAUAUGAUUUUACAUUUUGAAAUGAUCUUUAUGUUUAUCAUUUAUGUGCUCAUUUUAAUUAAUAAUUAAAAUAAAAAUAUACUAAUGUUAACUUGUUUUAAUUAUCAUUAUUUUAUCAAACAUGCAAAUAGAUAUGCCUAUUUGCCAGUAAUUACUAAAGUUAUAUCUUGAAAAUUGUUAACCCUGCUAAGUGAAUAACUAGGUUUGAAAGUUUCCAUUUAUGUAUGAUUUUGAUUUAGACAGAAUUGAGAUCUAACUGCUAAUUAGAAAUUGGGUAUUGAUAUGGUUGUGGAUGAGAGUUAAAAGAAGAUCGUAGAAAAAAAAAAAUAACAAGCUUGAGAAAAAGAACUAGUUAAUCCUCUCCACAUUCUUCUAUUUAAAUUGAAGAUCCAAUCCUUUAAACAUAAUAUAUAUUACCAAAAAUUAACAAAAAUUAAAUUUUAUAUAUUUUAAUAUUCUAUAAUUUAUACAUCAAGACAGUACAAAAUAAACGAUAUCAAUUGUAUUAGUACUGUAAACUACAUGAUAAAGUACAUAAAUAAAAAAUUUACUUUAAAUAUUUUGAUCUAUAUAUGGAUAUAUAUAUAUAUAUAUAUCCUUAACUAUUGAUUAAUUUAAAAUCAUUAAAUUUUAAUGAUUAUAUUAUAGUAAAAUCUAAUAUCAUAUCAUUAAAGCCAUAUAUUUUGGCAUCUAGUUGAUGAUUUGGUUAGAAAUCAAAGUUUUUAUAUAAUUUUUUGGUGUAGAUCAUGGUCAACGUAGAAUGCAAAUUUUGUUUGACUAAAAUUAUGUUCCCUUUUGAUCCUAUAAGAUUAUCGAAAGCUUGAAUUGGAUCCAUGCGAGGGUGCUAUGGAUAUACUGGUAACAGCGAAUCUUUAUAAUUUCAACGGCUAGUACACUAAUCUUUUGUCACCAAAUUUGUCUCAGCAAUAAAGACUCGAGGGAUAACUUUAAAAAAGGGUAAAAUCUCGUAACUCGCCGAUCCGAUCCAGUGAACCCCCAAUGUAAUCUCCGUUAAUAUUCCAUCAGACGGUCUGAUCAACCAUAUACACGAUGGCGGGAAACCCGUGAGUCCAUGAUCCCGACCGCAUAAAACCAAGCGAACGGGAACGGCUCCAUCUCCUGCGCCCGCGGCGCCAUCAAUUCAUCUCUCCCCUCCUCUUUUAGUAGCCAAAGAAGUCGGAGGGACGAGAGAGAGACAGAGAGAGGAACGCCGUUCGAAUUCUCUUCUCCUUUUGGUCUCCGGUUUCUUCUGGAAGUUUCUCGAUCAUUCGCCGAGAGCCCAUGGGGAACUGCUCUCCGAAACCGAAGAAUGGGACCCGAUCGCCGGCGGCGGCGGCGGCGAAGCCCGGCCCGAUCGUGCGGCUCUACGGGAAGGAAUCGUGUCCGAUCGCGUGGCGGAUCCGCGUCGCGCUCCUCUACAAAUCGGUCGCCGUCCAGUUCUUCCCCACCGACGGGCCGGUGUUCCUCAGGUGCGGCGGCGAGGCGGUGGAGGGGCCCGCGGAUUCGCUUCUGAGGUAUAUCGAUUCGAAGUUCCCGCGGCCGCCGGUGGUGGCGGUGGAGAGGGGAACAGCAGCCGGGAAGGCGGCGCUGGUGACGGCUUUGCAGCACCGGAGCGUGGAGCGGCACGUGGAGGUGAUGGUGCGGUGGGCGGCGGAGCUGGUCGCCGGCGGAAGAGGCGGAGGGAGGAUGGAGGCAAGGAAGGUGGGCCGGAGUUACGGACAACUGGUGGAGGUGAUGCUGGAGCACGCGCAGAUGGAGGAGCGCCUCCUCUUCCCCGCCCUUGAGGCGGCCGCCGAUAGAGGUAUACCGGAACCCUCCCUAUCCCCACCGUCCAAUUUUUCACUAAAAAAUAAAAUUUCACUAAAAAAAUAAAUUUUCACUAAAAAAUAAAUUUUCACUAAAAAAAUAAAUUUUCACUAAAAAAUUAAAUUUUCGUUAAAAAAUUAAAUUUUCGUUAAAAAAUUAAAUUUUCGCUAAAAAAAUAAAUUUUUACAAAAAAAUAAAUUUUAAAUUUUGAUUAUUUAGUUUUAAAAAAGGGGGCGUUGCGAGAAUCGAACUCGCGACCUCUCGCACCCGAAGCGAGAAUCAUACCACUAGACCAAACGCCCAGUCUAAAUUAGGUGCGAUUUGGUGACGAAGUUAUGAUUAGUUUCGUAAAUUAGGGGCGAUUUGGUGACCAAGUUAUGAUUAGUUUCGUGUUUAUUGGUAAUUAGGGGUGUGUAAAGUGGCGAACGAGGAGCACGCGAGGGACCUGCCCAUAAUGAACGGGAUAAACGAGGAUAUCAAAUCUCUGGUGGCGAUGGAUGCAGGAGCGCCGUGCUAUCAGGAGGCAUUGCUCAAUCUCUCCCUUCGCUUCAAGACCUUGCAAGUAAUUCUUUCCUCCUAAUCAUAACAGAACAGCUUCUUUGAGUAGCAUCUAAGAUAUCUUGAUGGCUUUGUUUUGUUUUUUUUUUUUGGCCAAAGAACAAAAAAAAGGCGAAAGGUGAAAGGUGAAAUGAUUGAUUCCUUCCUGACUUGUAGGAAUUUGGAGGUAGCUAUUAUUACACUAAGAACCUUCCACCAACUUUGCUUACAUGGGUGGGAAAACACUUGUUGGAAUCUUUUGUCAUAGAAUAAUUUUCCUUUUUGACAUGCGAAUUCUGAUGGGUUAUAGAAAGUUGCCACAUAAUACUAACUUUGGGCAGUUAGCUGAUAGGAACUUUCAGUCAUGAAUGAGAAGUGUUUAGGCAAAAUAGAUUUCUCACCCCUUAUUUUUUUGUAGCUUUAUUCAUUAGCUUGCUGAUUUUGGGGCUGGCCAUGCCUCAUUUAAUUUCUGGUCUUGGUGAGAUUUUUUGCAUGCACUUGUAUCUUUUAUUGUACACUGUCAAAUAAGGGAGAGAGGCUAAUGAUUAGAUUGCCACAAGCAUUGAGGACUUUGGAAUAAAAAACUUUUACUCAACAGGCAACUGGCACUGAAUGACAGUCAAACCAAGGUGGCAAUUAAAGCAACAUCUAGAAAUCCUAUGUUGAUAAUUCUUCUUCUAUGUUUACUUUAAGUAUGAAUGCAAUAAACAGGCAAAGAUGAUUAAUUUGGGGGAUAACAAAAAAAAGGGGGGCAAAUAUUUUAUAAACUUUUGCAUAGAAUCAUAGGCAAAUAAGGAAGGAAUCUAAGAUCUCUUUCUUCUUCAAAUUUCAAGUUGUCUAAACUUAUUUCAUUUGAUGGUGUCCUGAAUCAUUUCUGUAACACUUGGGACGAAGUAUAAGAUUGUAAGUUCCAGCCUUCCACUUGGGUACAACUGCAUAAGGUCAGAGCACCUCUAGAGCCACAAGCUAACUAUUAUAGUGGAUGCACCCUCCUGGUUUGGUAUCUCCAGGACAUGGAAAAAAAGGAGUGCACUCAAAUAUAAAUAUAUAUUUACCAAUUUAAAGAAAUUAAAAAGAGAAAAUCUUAAUACGAGCCCAUAUUAUUUGUUAUUGGUGAUCUUUUCUAAGUAACAACAAUUGGGUUUAUGGCCAGGAACAUUGCAAGGAACACUUCAAAGAGGAAGAGAAGGAGCUCUUACCACUUCUAGAGGCUGCGGAAAGAACCCGAAUUGGAGAAGAGAAUGAUACCUCGUCCUCUUUUGCAGAACAAGUGAUGAUGUUGAUGGAGAGUACUCACUCCCNNNNNNNNNNNNNNNNNNNNNNNNNNNNNNNNNNNNNNNNNNNNNNNNNNNNNNNNNNNNNNNNNNNNNNNNCGAGUGGUCGCGAUGCUCAAAUCGCUGACCACCCUAAUAGAUGGCACACAUCCACCGUCCAUUUGUAAUAUACCCCUCAAAUCUCUGUGAUUGUUUCAUUUGUUUUAGUGCCUUGGAAGUUCUUUUCAUGCAUAUAAUUCCAAAGAUUUCUAUUGUUUGAAAAAAGGUCAGAGAUUGCAGCAAAUCUUGUCUCUUACUAUCUGGUCUGUACAUAUACCUUUGGACACUUCUAAUUGGUAAUCUUCAGUCAAAAGCAAUUAUCUGUCUCACGCAUAUAGCUAGGACUGUCAAUUGAUUUGAACUGCUUUAGUUCAGCUCAAGUUUGCCCCAAAGGAUGAGCUCAUCAAGUUGGUUUGAGAUUAGCUGAGCUGAACUUGAACUUGGUUCUCAAGCUCAAGCUCAAGCUCAGCUGAACUACACUUCUUUCUACAACUAUUGUUUGAUAUUUGUGAACCCUAUACUUGAUCUAAUAGUUGUUGUAAUGCACUAGAUUUUUGGGACCCUUUCUGUAGAAUGAUCACAAUAUUCGAAGUCCAGCAAGUGUCAUAGAACCUCUCAUUAGCAUGAGCUUGUAACCCUUGCAAAAGUUACAGGCUAGCUUGAAUAUUGGUUUGUUUGAGAUCAAAGGAAGGUGCUUAUUGACGAGUUAUGCUUCUAUAUACAACCAGUAGUGUUAAUAGGUUGGGAUGGGGUCGAGUGAGCCAUCUCCACACCCAAAUCCCAAGUACAUAUAUUAUUUCUUUGAUUUAGAAUCCUCUACGCAUACCUAGCAUGGAUCCAAGGGUGUGUUUGGUUCGCGACCGGAAUCAGAAUCGGAAUGGCCAUAUUCUCUGAUGUGUACUUCAUCGGCGAAAGGUGGCCAAUUUGAAUCACAAGGACUAUUAAAUAGUUGUUGUCACAACCUUGUAGCAUUACAUUUUUUGUUCUUACCUCAAUGACAGUGGUAGCUUAUAUUAAUUGACAGCAUAAUUUUAUAUGACCGAUGAUAGUUUACAGGCCACUGCAUGUCAUCUUCUUGGCUGCCCAAUGAAGACCAACUAAUAUCUUGAUCAUACCAUAUGCUAUCUUCCUGUGAUCACGCAAAGUAAUCUAUCAUACUGCGAACCCUGUUCUUGAUCAGUUUUGCAUCCUAAUACUGCCUAAUUUUAAUGUCAUUGAGUGGUGACCAAGUCAUAAGAACCACAGGCAAAACAAAAAAAUUUGAGUUGUUCUAUUGAAUCAUAUUGAAGAGACUUUUGGAGUUGCAGAAAGAAAGAAUUCGACUGCUCAACAAUGCCAACAAUCUGAGACCGUAGUGCGCAUACUGAAUACUUUGUUGUGAUGAGAUACUAAAUUUGUCUCCCCCUGAAAUGAGCCAAUUAAUCCAGAGAAUAUCUUGAAGCAAAAGUGUUACAGACUUGGUAAAUUUUCUAGCUGCAGGUUUUAGAUCGCAAUAACUUGUUUGUCACAGAAGCCUAGUCUGUAGAAAAAGAUUUUAUUGCAUCAUUAUAUAUAAAACAUGCAUCAUACUUACUGCUCUCUCUGAGGAUGCUUCAGUUCUUCCACUUUUACAUGACUCCCUUCUAUUAGAAUUCCCUUCAUGUGUUCCACUAGUUCCUGAAUUUGCUUAUUUGAAUGGAGAGGAGAAGGGUAGACACAAGCACAAUCCAGUUGGCCAUCUCGGAUUGUGUCAAAAAAGGCGAUCGACGGGCCAACCCCAUGGACUGAAGAGCAUCCAACAUAGUCCUCCACUCCAAGAUACUGCUGCAGCUCGGACGAUUCAGAUAUCACAGGCUCGUCGAAGACCGAGAUGAGUGCAGUGCGAAGUGAUGAGGCAGGAGUGAGGUGGGGGUUCUGGAUGGCCUUGCACAUGAGGAAGUUGAGCUCGCCAAUGUCGGUCAGGUGCU